CAAUGUAUGUUUGUAUAUAAAUGACAGGGAAAAGCACCACUGAUGCCAUUUUUCUGGUAAGACAACUACAGGAGAAAUACCUAGCCAUAGAUAAACCUCUGUAUCUGGCUUUCGUUUACAUGGAGAAAGCUUUGACAGGGUCCCCUGAUCACUUAUCUGGGGGUCAAUGCAGAAACUAGGGCUAGAUGAGUGGUUUGGGAGAGCUGUACAGGCCAUAUACAGGGAUGCUGUUAGUAAGGUGAGGGUUAGCAACAAGUAUAAUGAAGAA